rnacentral:rRNA from 1 species
GAUCAUGGCUCAGGAUGAACGCUGGCGGCGUGCUUAACACAUGCAAGUCGAACGGGAAAUACUUUAUUGAAACUUCGGUGGAUUUAAUUUAUUUCUAGUGGCGGACGGGUGAGUAACGCGUGGGUAACCUGCCUUAUACUGGGGGAGUAACAGCCAGAAAUGACUGCUAAUACCGCAUAAGCGCACAGAACCGCAUGGUUCCGUGUGAAAAACUCCGGUGGUAUAAGAUGGACCCGCGUUGGAUUAGCUAGUUGG